GGAGGAAGGGAUGACAGACAAAUGAAAAGAUUUGUUUGUUGAGUUGGGAAAAAGUAUAUGUAUGUCUAUAUAUAUAUGAGAUAAAAAGAAUCUAUAUAUAUAUAAAGGUAAAAUUAUUGAUGGUGACUAGAUCUUUCGAAAAGGACGGAAGAGAACAAGUAACCAAAAAUAACGAGGUAAAAGGGGUAAAUAAAUUUUCCUGGAUCAAACAAGCAAAGCAAAUAUGAUCUAUCAAUCUACCGUACCGGGAGAAAAAGUAUCUUCUUUAUCGACAAAGGAUGAAAGAAAGAUAGGUUAUUUUUUUUUCUUAUGUUGAAGGUAAGAACAAAAGAGAUAUGUAUGUAAACUAUACUAAGCGAACAACACACAGUCUUCUAUGUUUUCGAGUUCUUUGAUCGAACAGUAGCUAACGAGAAGCACACUGAACUUUGUUAGGAAUUCCAAAAACGC